rnacentral:sRNA from 2 species
UCAAGAAUUACUCGUGCCCAUCCAUCCCAUGAAUACUAUGAUGCCAGCCGUUUACUCCUUUUAUCAUCUGUUUGGGGGGAAACACCUCCAUCCAGUCCACUCAAUAUUUGCAGAAAACCUCCACAGUUUGGAUCGUCUCAGCGCGCCAACAGUAACAUACCAGAACGGUUCCUUGGCGAGGUCUAGAGCUAGUUAGUUAAUGUAACUGGUGGAAAUAGGAGACAUAGCCCGGGGACGUAUUCAGAGUCGACUACGGGAGUCAGCGGGAGGUUAACAGAUUACCCAGUAAUACAGGAACUCACGCCAUACUACAAAAUAGAACUGUCGUAAGUACCGUAGAAUUCUCGAUGCAGCA